rnacentral:rRNA from 1 species
UGGGAAUCUUGGACAAUGGGGGAAACCCUGAUCCAGCCAUGCCGCGUGAGUGAUGAAGGCCUUCGGGUUGUAAAACUCUUUCGACGGGGACGAUAAUGACGGUACCCGUAGAAGAAGCUCCGGCUAACUUCGUGCCAGCAGCCGCGGUAAUACGAAGGGGCUAGCGUUGUUCGGAAUUACUGGGCGUAAAGCGUGCGCAGGCGGUUCUCCAAGUCAGUGGUGAAAGCCCGGAGCUCAACUCCGGAACUGCCAUUGAAACUGUAGAGCUAGAGUACGAGAGAGGUGAGUGGAAUUCCCAGUGUAGAGGUGAAAUUCGUAGAUAUUGGGAAGAACACCGGUGGCGAAGGCGGCUCACUGGCUCGUAACUGACGCUCAUGCACGACAGCGUGGGGAUCAAACAG